rnacentral:rRNA from 1 species
GAUGAACGCUGGCGGCGUGCCUAAUACAUGCAAGUCGAGCGAACGGACGAGAAGCUUGCUUCUCUGAUGUUAGCGGCGGACGGGUGAGUAACACGUGGAUAACCUACCUAUAAGACUGGGAUAACUUCGGGAAACCGGAGCUAAUACCGGAUAAUAUUUUGAACCGCAUGGUUCAAAAGUGAAAGACGGUCUUGCUGUCACUUAUAGAUGGAUCCGCGCUGCAUUAGCUAGUUGGUAAGGUAACGGCUUACCAAGGCAACGAUGCAUAGCCGACCUGAGAGGGUGAUCGGCCACACUGGAACUGAGACACGGUCCAGACUCCUACGGGAGGCAGCAGUAGGGAAUCUUCCGCAAUGGGCGAAAGCCUGACGGAGCAACGCCGCGUGAGUGAUGAAGGUCUUCGGAUCGUAAAACUCUGUUAUUAGGGAAGAACAUAUGUGUAAGUAACUGUGCACAUCUUGACGGUACCUAAUCAGAAAGCCACGGCUAACUACGUGCCAGCAGCCGCGGUAAUACGUAGGUGGCAAGCGUUAUCCGGAAUUAUUGGGCGUAAAGCGCGCGUAGGCAGUUUUUUAAGUCUGAUGUGAAAGCCCACGGCUCAACCGUGGAGGGUCAUUGGAAACUGGAAAACUUGAGUGCAGAAGAGGAAAGUGGAAUUCCAUGUGUAGCGGUGAAAUGCGCAGAGAUAUGGAGGAACACCAGUGGCGAAGGCGACUUUCUGGUCUGUAACUGACGCUGAUGUGCGAAAGCGUGGGGAUCAAACAGGAUUAGAUACCCUGGUAGUCCACGCCGUAAACGAUGAGUGCUAAGUGUUAGGGGGUUUCCGCCCCUUAGUGCUGCAGCUAACGCAUUAAGCACCCCGCCUGGGGAGUACGACCGCAAGGUUGAAACUCAAAGGAAUUGACGGGGACCCGCACAAGCGGUGGAGCAUGUGGUUUAAUUCGAAGCAACGCGAAGAACCUUACCAAAUCUUGACAUCCUUUGACAACUCUAGAGAUAGAGCUUUCCCCUUCGGGGGACAAAGUGACAGGUGGUGCAUGGUUGUCGUCAGCUCGUGUCGUGAGAUGUUGGGUUAAGUCCCGCAACGAGCGCAACCCUUAAGCUUAGUUGCCAUCAUUAAGUUGGGCACUCUAAGUUGACUGCCGGUGACAAACCGGAGGAAGGUGGGGAUGACGUCAAAUCAUCAUGCCCCUUAUGAUUUGGGCUACACACGUGCUACAAUGGACAAUACAAAGGGCAGCGAAACCGCGAGGUCAAGCAAAUCCCAUAAAGUUGUUCUCAGUUCGGAUUGUAGUCUGCAACUCGACUACAUGAAGCUGGAAUCGCUAGUAAUCGUAGAUCAGCAUGCUACGGUGAAUACGUUCCCGGGUCU